UACAGAGGUCUCAAGCGUUGUUCGGAUUCAUUGGGCGUAAAGGGUGCGUAGGCGGCGCGGUAAGUCGGGUGUGAAAUCUUGGAGCUUAACUCCGAAACUGCAUUCGAUACUGCCGUGCUUGAGGACUGGAGAGGAGACUGGAAUUUACGGUGUAGCGGUGAAAUGCGUAGAUAUCGUAAGGAAGACCAGUGGACGGAAGGCGGGUCUCUGGACAGGUUCCUGAC
rnacentral:rRNA from 1 species